ACCACUUAAACCAAAGGGUCAAUCGGUUCGACCCACCCCAUCGCGGCUCCCUUCCGAGCGGCGGCGGCGACGACGCUCAGGGAGACACCACUAGGUUCUCCGCCGGCAACCGGCCAUGCAGGACGGCCACGCCGGCGCACCCCAACCGUACCGUAGCCCGUCCAGGCGCCCCCCUCCUACAGCAGCUCCGCGUCUCUCUAUAUCAGCGUCUUCCUCACUCCCGUUAUCAAACUCCGGGCGCCAGCAGAUCCCUGCUGCGCUCCGCCGUUUCGUCGACGACCCCCUCCACUCCGGCAGCUGCCCUAUCCCCUGACAACUGCCCUGUGCCAGCAACGCCUAUUGAGUCUUCCUGGUCAGUGCCUCCAAGAGCUUCUAUAAGUCAGUCUCCUCCCUGACGGAGCUUUGCAGCUAACAGUUCAUGAUUGCAAUUGACCAAUCGUGAGGCUCCAUUGGUUUCUUCUUGCUGCCUGUGGUUCAUUUUUUGGGGAUGACUGUGGCUGGAGCAUGAUAUUUGGAUCAGAUUAGCACUUAGCUAGUUUUUUUAUUUUGCAUGCUGUCUUAUAACACUUCUUUGUCCAUACCAAACUGUUAGUAUGCUUUAUUUCUUAUGAUAAUUGAUUAAUCUUUUAACUUGCUGCAGCAAGGUGGAAGUGGAUAGGAUGAUGGAUGUGCCACACCUCCAAGGAGUUGGAGAAGGACACUCAAGUGGUAGAAAGCAAAAGAGAACGCCUCGGGCAACCGGUGCUCCACUAGUUGAAGUAGUUGAAGGAGUAGACCUCAAUAACAAUGCUCCGAAAGUUGAACAAGUUCAGUCCAGUAAUGCAGUACAACCAAAUGGUGAUAAUGAGCUUGUUGGUGAUGGAGAGAACAACUAGGGCAUUGGUAAUGGCGAGGAUCAGGACAUGGGUGACGGUUGGGAGGGUCAGGACUUCCGUGAUGUUUGGGAGAAUGAGGACUUUGGAGAUGGUUGGGAGGAUGAGAUGGAUGAAGAAGAUAGGGCUGGAUGUGUUGAUGGUCGAAUUGAACCAACAAUGGUUAGUGGUUUCUUAUAUGGUGAGGAAAAUAGGCAAUUCAGAUCCAAAGUUUGGAAUGAGUUAGCAAAAUCCAUGUGGGUGGUAUUGUUACAAAAGGUCAAUGUAACACUGCAGUGCUGAAAUCAGCGCUAAGCGAGGUGUAGCAACCAGCGCCAUGAGCACUCAUUUGAAGAGAUGCAAGGUUAGAAAAAGUGUGACAAAUAUGGCCAAUCAGCUUAGGUCAACUGUCAUGUCUCCUGAAGGAGUUUCUUUGGACAACUGGAGGUUCAGUCAAGAAGUGUCUAGGAAAGAGUUAACCCGGAUGAUCUCGCUUCACGGGCUACCACUAUCCAUUGUUGACUAUGAAGGCUUUCGAAGGUUUGUCUCCAGCCUUAAUCCUAUUUUCAGAAUGAUUUCAAGGAGGACCAUUUCGGCUGAUUGUUUGAAAGCUUUUGAAAAGCAAAAAAUAGUACUUCAAGAUGUUCUUAAAAGUAACAAAAGUCGAGUUUCUUUGACAAUGGACAUGUGGACGUCCAACCAGACAAUUGGAUAUAUUUGCAUCACAUGUCAUUUUUUGAAUGAUGAUUGGAAGAUUCACAAGUGGAUUGUCAAGUUCACUUUUAUGAGAACACCACACACAUGUGUUGCAAUGUUCAAUGAAGUCCUCAAGUUCAUUCAAGAAUGGAACAUUGAAGAUAAGUUGUUUGCGAUAACCUUGGACAAUGCCAGCAAUAAUAAUGUAAUGGUCAAGCUGUUAAGAAGUAAUUUGCUAGAGAAACAAAAGCUAUGUGGGAAAGGAGUAUGUCUCUUGAUUUCUAUUUUUUCUAUACAUUCUAGGAUGGCUGUGGCUGGAGCAUGUUUUGGAUCAAGGAUGCUGGUGGUCUUGCCCUGAGUUGUUGGUGGAGUAUGUUCCAUGAUGUUGGAGUACGUUGCUGGAGUAUGUUCCAUGC